UAAAAUAUUCUUUUAGACUCUUAAUUUAAAACGUCCCUACAAUAGUUUGUUGUUAUUUUAAGAAUCAGCUCUUCUCUUUUUAAAAGAGAUUUUUAUUAGUCAAAAUGUCAUACAGUUAUAUAAAAUAACAACAGAAGAGGAAGUUGUGAUUUAAUGAACCACAAGGAUGAGUGAGAUGAACGUUGUUAGUUACGUGAUUCCAACCUCCUUUACUUUGUUUUAAUUAAUUGAGAUUGUUUGUUAUGAUACCCCUCUAUCUAUAUUGGGAAGUCUGAAUUAUUAUACAUGAUUGCAGUGUCAUUGAGUGUGAUUCUGCAUCCUUGGAUUUAUUACAAUUGUGAUUCUGCAUCCUUGAAUUUAUUACAAUAGUGAUUCUGCAUCCUAAAGUAUAAUAUCUUAUCAUGGAUCUAUGUAGAGGUUGUGUGUUUUCUCAAAUGUAACUUUUUUGGGAGGAGGAUGUUAACACCUUAUCUAUUUCUAUUUGUAGAAUGGUCAUUCUUGAUAAAGGGUGGUGUUGGCAGUAUACAAAAAUGGUGUUUUUAAUAGGAGCAGUGCCUAUAAGGUUUUUAUUCAAAUGAAAAACCAAGCCUCUUCAUCGGUUGGUGGUGGUCAUAAUUUUUAGUGAAAGAAAGGUAUUCUUCCAACAAAAUUGAAUCUUGCAAAUAGAAAAAUUCAAGUUGAGAGAUAUGGUGCCUUGUUCCUUGUUUUGUGGGAGUGAUUUUUAAGUCUAUUAUUCCUGCUCUUUUCUAGUGUAAUCGUGCUUCCUAGAUUUGGAGAAAUAUCUUAAUGUCAAUGGGUUGGUAGAUUGGGGGAGAUGGAUUUGGCUUGCGACUUCUUUAUUUGUGGCUGCUGCGAUGAGGCUUACUCAUUUCCUUUGGGAUUUUCUAUUGGGCAAUUUGGGAGGAUCAGAAUAAGGUUUGCCAUUAUUUUGUGUAAACAGAGUGUGGGUGUGAGUUGAAUGGUUUAUGUCUUGGCUCCAGAGGAAGAGUACCUUAAAAUUAAUGUUCAUGGCUACACAUGUUCACCCUUGAAAGAUGGUCUCUGUAUGUGGGCAAUCAUAAGAAAGCAUGAUGGGAGAUGGGAGAUGGGAGAUGGGAGAUGGGAGAUGGGAGAUGGGAGAUGGGGUUGGGGCUGAAACUGAAGAGAUAUAUGCUUUCGUUUAUGGUUUGCGUUUGGCAAUUAGGGAGAUGGGCUUCGUGGGGUUUCCUUUGGAAUAUUGUGAUGCACUUGGCUUGGUAUCUCUUUCUUUCUUUCUCUUCCUCCCCAUUUUCUGCUUUCUUUGUCCAAACAUCCCAUUUCUGUUUGUGAUCAGUCUUCAAAUGAAGACGUGGGUUAUGCACACAUUUCGGUUAGUG
rnacentral:lncRNA from 1 species